AGUAUUUAUGUUAUGUUUAUGUAUAUUUAUUUAUGUGCAUGUGGUAUACUGAUAAAUAUACUCACCAGAUGUAUAGAUCUCUGAUUGAUAUAACAUAUACAAUACUAGGUCAAUGUCAGACAAAUAUCACCUUUCAAGGUAUGAUAUGAGGCUAAGAAACUGUGGCAGGGCAAGUUUUACUGAGCAAUUCAUCAGUUUCAUAUGAGCACCAGAUUAUAUAAACAAGUGAUAUGAUAAAAUCAACAUUGUAAAUUAUCACUUUAUUACAAUAUUAUGUAAAUAAGAACAACAGGAAUUGUUUUAGCUGCAUUAACCUGUUUAUUUCAGCAUGUUGUAUUAGCAUGUUUCUUAUUCUUCAGAC
rnacentral:lncRNA from 1 species